rnacentral:rRNA from 1 species
CGGCGGACGGGUGAGUAACACGUGGAUAACCUACCUAUAAGACUGGGAUAACUUCGGGAAACCGGAGCUAAUACCGGAUAAUAUUUUGAACCGCAUGGUUCAAAAGUGAAAGACGGUCUUGCUGUCACUUAUAGAUGGAUCCGCGCCGCAUUAGCUAGUUGGUAGGGUAACGGCUUACCAAGGCGACGAUGCGUAGCCGACCUGAGAGGGUGAUCGGCCACACUGGAACUGAGACACGGUCCAG